GACGAACGCUGGCGGCGUGCCUAAUACAUGCGAGUCGAGCGAGCGGAACCAACAGAUUUACUUCGGUAAUGACGUUGGGAAAGCGAGCGGCGGAUGGGUGAGUAACACGUGGGGAACCUGCCCCUAAGUCUGGGAUACCAUUUGGAAACAGGUGCUAAUACCGGAUAAGAAAGCAGAUCGCAUGAUCAGCUUUUAAAAGGCGGCGUAAGCUGUCGCUAAGGGAUGGCCCCGCGGUGCAUUAGCUAGUUGGUAAGGUAACGGCUUACCAAGGCAACGAUGCAUAGCCGAGUUGAGAGACUGAUCGGCCACAUUGGGACUGAGACACGGCCCAAACUCCUACGGGAGGCAGCAGUAGGGAAUCUUCCACAAUGGACGCAAGUCUGAUGGAGCAACGCCGCGUGAGUGAAGAAGGUUUUCGGAUCGUAAAGCUCUGUUGUUGGUGAAGAAGGAUAGAGGUAGUAACUGGCCUUUAUUUGACGGUAAUCAACCAGAAAGUCACGGCUAACUACGUG
rnacentral:rRNA from 1 species